GCAAAUCAUCAUAUAAUUAACUGAAGUAAACAUCUUCGCAAGCAAUUAGCCUGCUAAACAACUUUAUAAUUUAAAUAAGAGAGAAAAUCAAUCAGAAUAGACCUGAUUGGCUUAAUUAAUCUUCUCACAUAUGGCAGUGUUGUACUGAGUCAUCAAUUAGCAAAGGACUUGGGUCCAGCAAUGCCAAUUUGAGGAGGUCUGGGUUGCCUUCCAAUACACCCAUGUCUUGCUCGUCUAGGGUCACCCAAGCUUCUAUUCCAUCACCUAACCUUGUGUCAGCCAAAAUGAUUAGAUUCAUAAAAACUGAACCUGUCAAACCAAUACUGCUAACCCACACAGGCUUUCCCCACCCAAAAUCAGUACCAUAAUAACCAAAGUUACACCAGCUUGAAAAUCCAAAGUAGUCCACUCCAUCUCCUGACCCCAUUUCACUUAUUGCCUUGAGGGACUGGGACAUCACAGAAUUCCCUUCCUCUCCUUUAAUUUGCUUAACAAACUCAGCAUCAAUUCUUGAUAUUGCUUCCCUCACUUCACUUACCAAGUUAUUGAGUUCUGGCUUGGACCCUGCUGUGUAUCGUGCAGCUGCCAUCCACAGGAGGUUUCCUAAGGAAUUCUCUGACAAGGAUGGUUCCAUUCUUUUACGCAGAUUCACAAGAUGGGUUAGUAAAGAAGGCCUCUGAAAUCCAUGCAGUUCUGCGGAGGCAGCCAGGGUAGACUUCCACAGGAAAGCUGAGACCACCUCAGCCCUGGUGGGGCAUUUCACUCCUGAGCUGGUUGCUUGGGCUUUGAGCUUGGCUAUUGCUGAGGAAUCAAACACAAAUCUUCUAGUGAUGCAAUUGCCCUGUCUAAGCAAGGAACCCCACACGGUAGAUGAUGAGUCUCUAAGCCACAAGUCAUUUGCAGGAAAAAGAGAAGCAGCAAUAAAAUUAGGAUAUAUUGGUUCAUUGCAGCCCAUGGCAGCGGAAGUCCACCCCUUGAGAAAGGUGCCUAGUGCAGCACCAUCCAAGAUCUUGUGAGAAAUGCAUAUGCCAAUGGCAACACCACCGCAACUGAAGACGUUGGCUUGAAUAUUCGUCACAUAAGAUCCUGGGGCUAAUUCCUUGACAACGAAUUCACGUGGAAGGAGUUUUUGUAUUAACAGGAGAUCAGGAUGGUUAAGGAAUUCAUGGAGGCCACAACUCACUCUGGUUUCCACAAAAUAAGCCCCUUCAUCA
rnacentral:misc_RNA from 1 species